GAUGAACGCUGGCGGCGUGCCUAAUACAUGCAAGUCGAGCGAACAGACGAGGAUCUUGCUCCUCUGACGUUAGCGGCGGACGGGUGAGUAACACGUGGAUAACCUACCUAUAAGACUGGGAUAACUUCGGGAAACCGGAGCUAAUACCGGAUAAUAUAUUGAACCGCAUGGUUCAAUAGUGAAAGACGGUUUUGCUGUCACUUAUAGAUGUAUCCGCGCCGCAUUAGCUAGUUGGUAAGGUAACGGCUUACCAAGGCAACGAUGCGUAGCCGACCUGAGAGGGGGAUGGGCCACACUGGAACUGAGACACGGUACAGACACCGAGGGGAGGCAGCAGUAGGGAAUCUUCCGCAAUGGGCGAAAGCCUGACGGAGCAACGCAGCGUGAGUGAUGAAGGUCUUCGGAUCGUAAAACUCUGUUAUUAGGGAAGAACAAAUGUGUAAGUAACUAUGCACGUCUUGACGGUACCUAAUAAGAAAGCCACGGCUAACUACGUG
rnacentral:rRNA from 1 species